GCUGUGUUAGUGUAAUUGGUAACACACUGCUCUCGAAAAGCAGCGUCCUUUGGACUUACAGGUUCGAGUCCUGUACACAGCGCCA
rnacentral:tRNA from 1 species